rnacentral:rRNA from 1 species
AACCAGCACCUCAAGUGGUCAGGAUGAUUAUUGGGCCUAAAGCAUCCGUAGCCGGCUCUGUAAGUUUUCGGUUAAAUCUGUACGCUUAACGUACAGGCUGCCGGGAAUACUGCAGAGCUAGGUAGUGGGAGAGGUAGACGGUACUCGGUAGGAAGGGGUAAAAUCCUUUGAUCUAUUGAUGACCACCUGUGGCGAAGGCGGUCUACCAGAACACGUACGACGGUAAGGGAUGAAAGCUGGGGGAGCAAACCGGAUUAGAUACCCGGGUAGUCCCAGCUGUAAACUAUGCAAACUCAGUGAUGCAUUGGCUUGUGGCCAAUGCAGUGCUGCAGGGAAGCCGUUAAGUUUGCCGCCUGGGAAGUACGUACGCAAGUAUGAAACUUAAAGGAAUUGGCGGGGGAGCACCACAAGGGGUGAAGCCUGCGGUUCAAUUGGAGUCAACGCCAGAAAUCUUACCCGGAGAGACAGCAGAAUGAAGGUCAAGCUGAAGACUUUACCAGACAAGCUGAGAGGUGGUGCAUGGCCGUCGCCAGCUCGUGCCGUGAGAUGUCCUGUUAAGUCAGGUAACGAGCGAGAUCCCUGCCUCUAGUUGCCACCAUUACUCUCAGGAGUAGUGGGGCGAAUUAGCGGGACCGCCGCAGUUAAUGCGGAGGAAGGAAGGGGCCACGGCAGGUCAGUAUGCCCCGAAACUCUGGGGCCACACGCGGGCUGCAAUGGUAACGACAAUGGGUUUCGAAUUCGAAAGGAUGAGGUAAUCCUCAAACGUUACCACAGUUAUGACUGAGGGCUGCAACUCGCCCUCACGAAUAUGGAAUCCCUAGUAACUGCGUGUCACUAUCGCGCGGUGAAUACGUCCCUGCUCCA